UACGUAGGGUGCAAGCGUUAAUCGGAAUUACUGGGCGUAAAGCGUGCGCAGGCGGUUAUGUAAGACAGAUGUGAAAUCCCCGGGCUCAACCUGGGAACUGCAUUUGUGACUGCAUAGCUAGAGUACGGUAGAGGGGGAUGGAAUUCCACGUGUAGCAGUGAAAUGCGUAGAGAUGUGGAGGAACACCGAUGGCGAAGGCAGCCCCCUGGGCCUGUACUGACGCUCAUGCACGAAAGCGUGGGGAGCAAACAGG
rnacentral:rRNA from 1 species